AAACAACAACAGACUGGUUUUAACAAAUAAUUCCUUUAUUGUUUAAAAUUUUAAAUCAUACAUUUAAAGAAUUAAAUACUACAUAAAUAUUAUAUUCAAAAAAUAUAUUUUUAAAAAUAUACAAUCAUAAUUUAUUGUGACAAAAAUGAAUAUAAUGAAUAUCAAUGGAUAGACAAAAAAAAAAUUACAUUUCAAAUAUUUUAAACUUAAAUUCAAAUUUUGGCGGGUUUUCAGCAUGCAUUUGACCUACUCAAAAUGGCGGAUAAUGACUUCACAUCAAUCACUUAUCACUAUCGUUCCGCAGUUCCGCUCCAUUAAAAAUUUUCGUCCGUCGUUGCUUUUUUUGUACGAAAAUUUUAAUUUUAUCAACAAUCUUUUCAUUGAAGAGAGACUACCAUUAUAAUUAAAUUUUUGUUGAGCAGCAUUUAAAAUUUUUUUUGAUGUAGGAUAUUCACCUCUUUCGUAAAAUUCAUGCACGAUUCUUCGUAGUAUCUCAUUAUCGACUUCGUCCAAUUCUGUUGCAUACUUUUUACGUUUAUACGUUUUUCGAGGUGAAGUAAAUGAUGGGCCUGGUUGUGGCGAAUCCGGAUUAUUGUUGGUUGAAGAUCCUUCUACACAAACUCGUCUUACGGUCAUAAGAGACACACCACAAGCAUCGGCAGUUAUUUUUUGUGUCUGUUUAAAAUGUUUUUUUAAAACCUCAUCAUUCGAAUUAGCCAGAUCUUUGAAAUAAUUAUAUACAUGAAAAAUAACUUUUUUGGUUUGACUACGUGUAUCAUUAAUUUUAAAAGACAUUUUAAUGUUUAAGAAUUCAAAAACAAAAUAUACGUUUAUAAAAUGAAACGUUUUAAAUCAAAACACACUAUUACAAAUUUCACUGUUCACUGUACACGUGCGUUCAACAAGACGAGCUCACGAAUAAUGAAUAAUGCUAUACAAAAUGUGAGGUCAAUCUCUACCGAAAGGCAGCUGCUAACAUAAAAGGUUAAUUCAUUGAAUACGUUCCGGCCGAAGUAUUUGAAGUAUGCCAUAAGACGCACCGCAUACGGAUACCGUAUCGUCACCCGGUAAUACAGAACAAUACUAGAAAAUCUGAGAACCCCUGGCCCAGACAUAAUUUGAGCACCACCCAUCGGCCGCCAGCGCUCACUUUCCGUGAGCCCGACUAUAGUUAACAAUCUAGUUUAUUAUCUAUAGCCGUGGUGGUGACACUGAAAAACCGUUCCUUUAGUUUCAUUUGCUCAACCGUUACAUGUAAACAUUGUAAACAUGUUCAACUUUUUUCACUUCUUUUUGUCCGUUGUCCAGUUAGCUCAUUACAAAUCACAAUGUUUUCGUUUGAAAUGUUUGAAUCUUUCUGUAUUGAAUGACAUGAAUAACAUACCGUAUUACCGUAAGAGAUUAAGUAUUAUUGAUUAAUUAUAAUAUUGUACUUUUGCGGUCUUUCUUGGUUGAUACACUGAUCGACAUAAGUAUACACGAUGAGUGAACGUGAAGUAAUCGUCACUUACAACAGAUAUUAUCUUCGCUUCGUCCUAACGACCUAACGUUACCUUCUUUCACUAAACCAUGCUUAUUCGCGAUGACUCCACGAAGUACCUUAGAAAAUUUUCGUGCAAUGAUGAUAGUCGUCAGUCGAAGAUAACCUUAUUCAAAAGAUUUCAUUUAUGUCAGAAGACGGGGAAUGUCACCUCGCAUAUUGUACCUCAUUGGAAUCUAUUGAAACUAGAAAAUUUCACAUGGGAAUUAACGAAACAGAAUUCCGCAUCAGUUUACCAUAACAUGAUUGCACAUUUUAAUUGACUACGUACUAUAUGUAUAUUGUAUAUCAAUAUCGCUAUUUUAUAAAAGUAUUAAAGUAAUAUAAGUAUAUAGUGGCUCCCUUUGCUUGCCGGCUCCAGUCGCCAAAUAUCGAGUUAUUUUGCUUGACAGUAGUAUGGCGCACAUGCUUAUAAAUGAAAAAUCGCAAACUUUGGAGGGCUUUUAACUUCCUAAAUAAUGGUUUCCGCAAAUAAAUUCAAACAGUUCCUAAUGUUUUCAUGCUUUUCGUUUUGAACGAUAUUUUGUCAUUGUAGUUGUGCGUUUAUUCAAUUUCUAUCGAGAAUAAAACUUUUUGUAAACAAAUCUAUGCUUUCGAGCUGAAUACAGAAAAAUCAUGAUCUAUCGUCCUGUUAUGUCAUGCUGGUUCCUAGAACUUGAGAUAUCAAACAAAAUUUAGUGAAGCGAAUUUAAUCAAAAUGUUAAUGUUCAUUUCUCUUGUACUAAAAUUUUAUGGUAUUCUGUUUUUUCAGGAUUAUAUGAAUGAAGUACAGAAACUGAGAGAACAGUUACCCGUGAUCUAUUAUUUUAAUGAUAGAAGGUAACUAUUUAACUGGUUGAUAUUAAUAUUAGUACUGAACUUGUGCUUCCCGGUCGCUAAACAAAUUGAAUUGUCAAUCUGUUUAAGAGGAUCUUGAAUUACAGAAACUGAGAGAAGAGUUACAGGUCGCUAAACAAAUUGAAUUGUCAAUCUGUUCGAGAGAGGAUCUUGAAAUACAGAAACUGAGAGAAGAGUUACAGGUCUUUAACCAAAUUAAAACGUCAACCUGUUUGUCCCCCAAGUACCUUGGAGGACUAAAACAACGACUUCUACGUAUCAUAGCUGAUGGACGUUUGGAUGAAUUGAUGAGAUCUUGCAGUAAGAAUUGUAAUAUGCAGCUCAGUUGUUUGAAACAUGAAAUUGAUGUCUUUACUGCCAUUCAGUUAGAAUCAUGCACAGAAUGUUUCAACAUUUCAAAUAUCAGGAUUCUUAAUUAGACAUGCCGAGAUGAAAAGAUUUAUCGAUACUAAUUAUCCUUAAAGACAUCUCUGUGUACUUUUGUUUCUGUUUAUUUUUUUUCUAGAUGAAGAUUGUUUUAGUUGUUUUUCUUUUUACAUAUAUUUAAUCACACAUUUUAAAGUGUUAACCUUAAAUACUUAUAUUUCCCACUUUCAAUAAAUAUUGUAGUCAUAUUAUAGUUUUUUCUUAAAAUAUAUUCUUAAGUAUUCUUUGUAAGGCAUUAUUAUGUUAGCUUUUUUCUGUUCAUGACUUUUUUUAUUUUUCAUAAGCGCAAGAGUGUCUUUAUUCCAACCACAACUGUGACAGGAUAUCCACUUGCUCCCGCUCUCCUAGAUCCAACACUGCCUCCGAUAUGACUCAUAAAGCAUAACAAUUAAUGAAUGAACAAGAUAAAAAAAAUUGGCAACCACAUUCAUUUGAGUUGUUUCUAUACUCAAUUGUAUUGAUACAAAUUAUGAGCCAUGCUCAAUCGGGUUGUUAAAAAGUAAUGACCGUACUCAAUGGGGUUUAACUGAAAGUAUGUACAUAAAGUAUUAGAAAUUAUUGUAAAAAAAAAAAAACAACCGGUAAGUACCGCUCUGCUGUACAUUAGGUGCUAUGUGGAUCAUUAUUAUAUAUUAUAGGCGUGUUAAAUUUUAAUCCAAUGAUAGGUAUCAUUGUAUACGAAAAAUGUUUCUGAACGAAGAUAGGAACGUUUGAUGGUUUAGUAUGCUAUCUACCGUCAUUUUAUGUUGGUGAAGUAUGAUAUCAACACGUAUUUAAAUGUAAAUUGUCUUACCUUAAUGCAGAAUUUCUUUGUCAUUUUUUUUAUAUUGUGUAGUUAUGUAUGCGUAUUUCUGAUCGCUCCAAGGAAUGAUUCGAAGAGGUCUUCAUUUGGUUUUUGUAACGAGCGCCACCAUUCUUAUUGAAGUUGAGAUGGUAAUAAUGUAAUAUAUUAGUCGCUCCCCGGGUUUUAAUGUCAUAUUUAUUUUUGACGUGUCUCCAAAGAGUUUCUAUAGUUUGGGUAUCAGCACCAGUUAUUGGAUCAAUGAAAUUUUCUGAAUGAUUAACCGUUUUAUGAAUAAACCCGUGUUCAUUUAAAGUAGAAUACGCACGCCAUUUAUCGGAAUAUAUAGUAGUACCUUGUUCAACUUCAUUCAAUAUAAUUGGUAGUAAGGCAUUUCGAUCACACUUUUCAACU